UACGUAGGUGGCAAGCGUUGUCCGGAUUUAUUGGGUUUAAAGGGUGCGUAGGCGGUUCUAUAAGUCAGUGGUGAAAUCCGGCAGCUCAACUGUCGAUGUGCCAUUGAUACUGCAGAACUUGAGUACAGACGAGGUAGGCGGAAUUGACGGUGUAGCGGUGAGAUGCUUAGAUAUCGUCAAGAACACCGAUAGCGAAGGCAGCUUACUAGACUGUAACUGACGCUGAUGCACGAAAGUGUGGGGAUCAAACAGG
rnacentral:rRNA from 1 species